UAGAUAAGUCAGACAAGGAUCAUUUAUUCUAAAACCAUACCUUGGGCUUUGUUCUCUUCUCAGCAUUUCCAAAUGGAUAUUUUGCUGAUUUAUUGCACUGCUUCUCAAGGUACUGCUGCAAGCUUAAUGACUUUCAAGGUCAUAUCUUUCAUCCUUCAUUCAUGAGGACGUGAAGCUGGCCCUCUGCCAGCUGUCGGGGAUUUAUCAGUCCUCAGGAGCUGCCGCAAGCGAGGCAGCUCCACAGUGACCUUAACUCAUUUGUGAUGGAUCCCAGAGACGAGCUAUCAUGGAUUUAACUCCGCUGGCAGUGCUCGCGUAGUCCUCGGUGAGCCAAAGUCAUCCCUGAGCAUCUGCUGAGUCCAAAGCUUGUGCUAUAUAGCUGCUUCCUCGCCGGCUUGAUGUCGUCCCUUCUCAGUAGCACGGGUGGCAUCAACCAUGGAGUUCAUCAAGUCCUCCACUGGCAUAGCCUGGGCAAACAGGAAGCCAAAGGGAAUCAAUGGAACAGGGAUUACAUUGUAUAUGAAUCUUGAAGAAAUCACCUUUUAAAGCACAAAGCCAGCACAGAGAAACAGCCGAAGUGGACCCGAGGAUUACCAAGCCCCAGCGCUGCAUGUGACGGCAGAUCUGCGAGGUGUCGGACGGUCUACAUCGAAGUCCAGUGCUUGGAACCUUAUUUGGAUAUUGCUGCUUUCAAAGCUUGAGCUGUUCUUCCAAACACUGGAGUUCUCGGCUCCUUUUCAGUAUGAUGUAAGUACCACAAGUAUUGCAUUGUCUUAGAGAUUCCAGUGGGGGGUUGCCGAUAAAAUUCUACAUUAGAAUGCACUGGAAAAUCUUAGGUGGAAGCAAGCAUUUGAGAAAUGCACUUAAAGGUCUCACUUGAUGAACCAGAAAAAAAAAAAAAAAUCCCAGUGUCAGAGAUUUGAGUCUGACUCCUCUUUCAUCUUCAAGGCAAGCAGCAGCUUGAAAUAUUGACAAAGAAGGCCCUGAGGGACCAGCAGUACCAUCCUGAUCUAAAUAUCUCUCCAGGGAGACCCAGGCGAGGGUCUGUCUCCUGUGAGUUGGACAUUGUUCACACAGAAUCUGCAGGCAUUCCAAAAGCUAGAAAGAUCUCUUAUAAAGCUGUGAUUAAACAACUUCAAAUUUUUAGAAAUGAGGCGGUAUUACAAUAUUAAAAUUCCACGCCCUCUCUGUUGUAGAAGUGGAUUAAGGCUGGCCCAGGGGUCAGAGCAUAGGCACUAUGGCAGCAGAUUGUUCAGAAAGUAACUCCUGCUGGUGAGGAAAGAACUAGAAUGUGGAUCCUGAACAUUAAAAGGGUCUGUGAGCCAUGACAGUUAGCGUCAACAGCUUUUGAGGGGAAGGUGAUCUUCAGAAAGGACAUGGGUAUUUGGUCCUAUACAGGCAUGCUGGAGAAGCUGUAGUUAUUCUAUGUCAUUUAUAUUACACUAACUCUCCACCCCACCCCUCUAAAUGCCGGAGCCCGUCUCUUUUUCGGUUUUGUGCCACUUAUAAUUUAGGCUACCUCAUAGUAUAUGCAUCCUUAUGUGUAGCUAUAAAUCUUUUGGGCAUAGGGUGGGAGAAAUAAAUAUGUACAUUGGAAAGUGGGGAUUUCCCCA
rnacentral:lncRNA from 1 species